rnacentral:rRNA from 1 species
AACGAACGCUGGCGGCAGGCUUAACACAUGCAAGUCGAGCGCCCCGCAAGGGGCGCGGCAGACGGGUGAGUAACGCGUGGGAAUCUACCCAUCUCUACGGAAUAACGCAUGGAAACGUGUGCUAAUACAGUAUACGUCCUUCGGGAGAAAGAUUUAUCUGAGAUGGAUGAGCCCGCGUUGGAUUAGCUAGUUGGUGACGUAAAGGCCUACCAAGGCGACGAUCCAUAGCUGGUCUGAGAGAAUGAUCAGCCACACUGGAACUGCGACACGGCCCCGACUCCUACGGAAGCCACAAGUGGGCAAUCUUGGACAAUGGGCGCAAGCCUGAUCCAGCCAUGCCGCGUGAGUGAUGAAGGCCCUAGGGUUGUAACGCUCUUUCCCCGGUGAAGAUAAUGACGGUACCCGGAGAAGAAGCCCCGGCUAACUUCGUGCCAGCCGCCGCAGUAAUAC